rnacentral:rRNA from 1 species
GCAUAUCAAUAAGCGGAGGAAAAGAAACCAACAGGGAUUGCCUCAGUAACGGCGAGUGAAGCGGCAACAGCUCAAAUUUGAAAUCUGGCCUCUCGGGGUCCGAGUUGUAAUUUGUAGAGGAUGUUUCGGGUACCGCCUCGGUUUAAAUUUCUUGGAACAGAAUGUCAGAGAGGGUGAGAAUCCCGUCUUGGACCGGUGGUAGGGCCUAUGUGAAACUCCUUCGACGAGUCGAGUUGUUUGGGAAUGCAGCUCAAAAUGGGUGGUAAAUUUCAUCUAAAGCUAAAUAUUGGCCAGAGACCGAUAGCGCACAAGUAGAGUGAUCGAAAGAUGAAAAGCACUUUGAAAAGAGAGUUAAACAGUAUGUGAAAUUGUUGAAAGGGAAGCGCUUGCAACCAGACUUGAGCGCGGCGGUUCCCCCUUGCUUCUGCUUGGGUUACUCCGCCGUGUCCAGGCCAACAUCGGUUCUGGGGGUCGGUUAAAGGCCCUGGGAAUGUAUCUACCUACGGGUAGACUUAUAGACCAGGGUGUCAUGCGACCUCCCGGGACCGAGGAACGCGCUUCGGCUCGGAUGUUGGCGUAAUGGUUGUCAGCGACCCGUCUUGAAACACGGACC